UACGAAGGGGGCUAGCGUUGUCCGGAAUCACUGGGCGUAAAGCGCACGCAGGCGGAUCGAUAAGUCGGGGGUGAAAGACCGGGGCUCAACGUCAGAAUUGCCUUCGAUACUGUCGGUCUCGAGUUCAGGAGAGGUGAGUGGAAUGCCUAGUGUAGAGGUGAAAUGCGUAGAUAUUAGGAAGAACACCGGUGGCGAAGGCGGCUCGCUGGCCCGGAUCUGACGCUCAGGUGCGAAAGCGUGGGUAGCAAACAGG
rnacentral:rRNA from 1 species